AUGUUCGCGCCUGAUGUUGUCGGUGAGGAACACGCAGGAUGGGAUGGUGCUAAUUUGAAACAAACAUUUAGGAGACGUGUAGAUGAAUCCUUGUAUGGUAGAUGGCUGGAGCUGCUACGCUUAGUUAGUAACACUUCAGUUUCAGCAAUCUGUGAUAAACCCGUUUGGGUUCUUGAUAAGUCUCGUACCUACUCUGUGCAAUCCUUUUAUAGGAUGAUCAAUUUUGGGGGCGUCCGUAUUGAACUCCAGGAUUACAUUUGGAAGAUUAAAGUGCCGCCCAAUAUUCAUGUUUUCCUGUGGCUUAUUGUCCACAACAUGAGUUUAACCAGAGAUAAUCUAGCCAAGCGUUAA
rnacentral:rRNA from 1 species